ACGAACGCUGGCGGCAGGCUUAACACAUGCAAGUCGAGCGAGGACUUCGGUUCUAGCGGCGGACGGGUGAGUAACGCGUGGGAACGUGCCCUUUGCUACGGAAUAGCCCCGGGAAACUGGGAGUAAUACCGUAUGUGCCCUUUGGGGGAAAGAUUUAUCGGCAAAGGAUCGGCCCGCGUUGGAUUAGGUAGUUGGUGGGGUAAUGGCCUACCAAGCCGACGAUCCAUAGCUGGUUUGAGAGGAUGAUCAGCCACACUGGGACUGAGACACGGCCCAGACUCCUACGGGAGGCAGCAGUGGGGAAUCUUAGACAAUGGGGGCAACCCUGAUCUAGCCAUGCCGCGUGAGUGAUGAAGGCCUUAGGGUUGUAAAGCUCUUUCAGCUGGGAAGAUAAUGACGGUACCAGCAGAAGAAGCCCCGGCUAACUCC
rnacentral:rRNA from 1 species